GUCACCUUACGGUGUCCUGUCUGUUAUAUUACAGCAGUUCAGCACGGAGGAUUUUCAGUUCAGUUUUUGACUACAAAGGAUCAGCCGCAGAGAUGACCGGUAUCAGUGUUGUCAUGGUGAUUGGGGUAGCGACAUUUACCCUCCUUCACGGCUGUGACAACACUACUGCAGUCUCUGUUGAAGAUGAUGUCAAGACAUUGAAAGACAAAGUUGCCGCCUUGGAGUUUCAGGUUCGGCAGCUGCUUGGAGGGAAUCUAAUGCAGGCACGUCGUUCAUGUUCUGAUUGGUUCCGGGAUGGGUUCGUGACAAGUGGAAACUAUCUGAUCGACCCUGACGGUCUCCGUGGCGUCUCGGAUUUCUUGGU